UCAAGCUAUGAUGAUUAUCUAGUACGUUCUUAGCGUUCAAGUGGAGUCGGUCAGUCACACAAGUAUACAAGAAACAACAUUUCAAUUCAGCGAUAUGGGUUCCACGUCAAGAUGUUUCCUGCUUCUCGUCGCUUGCUAUUUGAUUGCGGAGUCAAUGUGUGCACCAGCAGAAAUGAAAGAGCUUCUUCACAAAGGAUUUAUGGAAAAGCGUGGUUGUCAUAAAGUUUUUGAUACAUGCACAACUGACGCUGAUUGUCAAGUUUCUCCAGCUUGCAAGUCGUACUAUUGCGAAGAAGUCGACGGGAUCUGCGCCUGAUAAAAACGUGCAAUUCUUUGACAGUGUAUUGAAUAUUUUGAAACGAACUCUCCUGCAACUUGAAUAGAAACCAAGAUUAAUGUUAGUUAAUACAAUAGACAGACAAAAGAUGACACUAAACCUCAUUAAAGCUGCAAAGAAAUUAUCAAAUC